rnacentral:rRNA from 1 species
GACGAACGCUGGCGGCGUGCUUAACACAUGCAAGUCGAGCGAUGAAACACCUUCGGGUGUGAAUUAGCGGCGAACGGGUGAGGAACACGUGAGAAAUCUGCCUUCAACACUGGGAUAACUCCGGGAAACCGGGGCUAAUACCGGAUAUGAAAUCUGCGGGCAUCCGCGGAUUUGGAAAGUUUUUCGGUUGAAGAUGAUCUCGCGGCCUAUCAGCUUGUUGGUGAGGUAAUGGCUCACCAAGGCGACGACGGGUAGCCGGCCUGAGAGGGCGACCGGCCACACUGGGACUGAGACACGGCCCAGACUCCUACGGGAGGCAGCAGUGGGGAAUAUUGGGCAAUGGAGGAAACUCUGACCCAGCGACGCCGCGUGCGGGAUGAAGGCCUUCGGGUUGUAAACCGCUUUCAGCAGGGAAGAAGCGAAAGUGACG